AUAUAUAAAAUUAAACGAGAGGUAUACAGUUAAGAUUGAUGUGAUAUUAU
rnacentral:guide_RNA from 1 species